rnacentral:rRNA from 1 species
GAUGAACGCUGGCGGCGUGCUUAACACAUGCAAGUCGAACGGGAUCGGCUGGAGCUUGCUCCGGCCGUGAGAGUGGCGAACGGGUGAGUAAUGCGUGACCGACCUGCCCCAUACACCGGAAUAGCUUCUGGAAACGGGUGGUAAUGCCGGAUGCUCCAGUUGGAUGCAUGUCCUUCUGGGAAAGAUUCAUCGGUAUGGGAUGGGGUCGCGUCCUAUCAGGUAGUCGGCGGGGUAACGGCCCACCGAGCCUACGACGGGUAGCCGGCCUGAGAGGGCGACCGGCCACAUUGGGACUGAGAUACGGCCCAGACUCCUACGGGAGGCAGCAGUGGGGAAUAUUGCACAAUGGGCGCAAGCCUGAUGCAGCGACGCCGCGUGCGGGAUGACGGCCUUCGGGUUGUAAACCGCUUUUGACUGGGAGCAAGCCCUUCGGGGUGAGUGUAC